UACGCUGGCCCCGGCUAACACAUGCAAGUCGAGCGCCCCGCAAGGGGAGCGGCAGACGGGUGAGUAACGCGUGGGAAUCUACCCUUUUCUACGGAAUAACGCACGGAAACUUGUGCUAAUACCGUAUACGCCCUUCGGGGGAAAGAUUUAUCGGGAAAGGAUGAGCCCGCGUUGGAUUAGCUAGUUGGUGGGGUAAAGGCCUACCAAGGCGACGAUCCAUAGCUGGUCUGAGAGGAUGAUCAGCCACAUUGGGACUGAGACACGGCCCAAACUCCUACGGGAGGCAGCAGUGGGGAAUAUUGGACAAUGGGCGCAAGCCUGAUCCAGCCAUGCCGCGUGAGUGAUGAAGGCCCUAGGGUUGUAAAGCUCUUUCACCGGUGAAGAUAACUGACGGUAACCGGAGAAGAAGCCCCGGCUAACUUCGUGCCAGCAGCCGCGGUAAUACGAAGGGGGCUUGCGUUGUUCGGAAUUACUGGGCGUAAAGCGCACGUAGGCGGACAUUUAAGUCAGGGGUGAAAUCCCGGGCUCAACCCCGGAACUGCCUUUGAUACUGGGUGUCUAGAGUAUGGAAGAGGUGAGUGGAAUUCCGAGUGUAUAGGUGAAAUUCAUAGAUAUUCCGAGGAACACCAGUGGGCGAAAGCGGCUCACUGGUCCAUUUACUGACCCUUAGGUGCCAAAGCGUGGGGAAGCAACCAGGAUUAGAUUCCCUUGGUAGUCCCCUCCGUAAACCAUGAAAGUUAACCCGUCGGGCAAUUUACUUUUCGGUGGGGCAAGUUACCCAAUAAACAUUUCCGCUGGGAAUACCGGCCGAAAAUAAAACUUAGGGAUUUUCGGGGCCCCCCCAAACGGUGGACCUUGGUUUAAUU
rnacentral:rRNA from 2 species